AGAGACUAUGGUGGAAAGAGCUAGCAAAGAUUUCUAUUCGUCAGUUUGCAUCCAAAACAUUUAGUGGUAAAGAAGUUUUGAAGAGGUUUUUACCAAGGCUCAAAUACAACGAGGCCAAGCUCCUUAGAGACUUAAUUCAACCCAUUUUCAAAGAGAAAGUGAAGAAACUGCACGAGCUCCUUGGAGCAAAAAAGAAGGCUGCAGCUACAAAGGUAUUUAAUUAGUAAAAUAUGUCAGUCUCCCAUUUGGAAUUUUCAAUCAGAAACAGUAAGAAGUGAUUAUAGUGAUGGCUGGUUUUUGUUGCAGGAGAAGGACAUGUUAGAUCUAAACAUUAACAAGAAUGUUUUGCAGGAGGGUUUGGUUAGCAUCACCUUGUAACAGUACAUCACCUACAAAGGUAUUUAAUUACCCUGAUAAGUUUUGCAUGGUCAGUAAAUCCAAGGAAUUGGCUAGUUCCUGACAAAUAUUAGAACAAGAGAUAAACUGUUAAGCUUGGCAAAACCAAACACACAUAUAAAUACAAUACUACAAUGUUGCAAGUUAUAUUCGGUCUACACCAAGCAAGCCAUCUAGUAUUGGAAUAGAUGUUCACAGUUGGAGCCUAAGCAAGUUUCCACCAAUUAACCUUGAGUCAGUGGGUCCUCAACCUGUUCUGCAGCAUCGAACCUGAAGGCUCAAGUUGGAAGAAGUGAAGAACACAAAAUGAACAAAUCUCUCUGCACAAUACAAAAAAACAAGAAGACAAAACAAUGGCAUGCAGAAAAUGUAAGCACGUAAAAAAUAGCUUUUGGAAAUUUCACGGUGCAAUAGAAAUCUUUUUUUAUCUUGAGUCAUAGAAAAGGAAAAAGCCCCAUUAGCUCUAAUCAAUCAGGCCAAGCAAGAGUUCACAUUAGCUUGUUCAUGUGUGAACUCUUGAGACAUUUAGUUGUAAUAGCAUACCUGAAUCUAGAACAUCUAAUAAAUCAACAUCUCUGCAUUCUUCAACAAUCGCU
rnacentral:lncRNA from 1 species